AAAACCCUAAGGUGGAAGCCAUAAAAUAUACUCAAAGUACAUAAUUCCAACCCUUGCAGUCUCUAUGAAUCCUGGCUCAGUCUCUCUGCAUUCAUAUAUGCCUUGAUCCACACAGUUUAGUGUAUGGGGAUGUGGCUCAGCACUAGAGCACAUAUUUAGCAUAUAUGAGGUCCUGGGAUUGAUUCUCAGCUUCUCCAAGGACUUUUAACUUUCCUGUAUUCAUUUUCAGGAUGUUUCUGCACAAAGUAUCCCAGACUUUAAAUUUUGGUGAGGAGAUCAUAUAUGCAUAGCUAAUUAUUGGAUGAAACAGCUCAUCUCUCACCAUGGCAUCAAUGUUCAUUUCUGACUGUGACUACUUUUCCAUGGAGACCGCCAUAGUCUAGUGAGUAGAACGAGGUCAUGCCUACAGGGAUAUGUUUUGUUCACAGAAAAAAAAAAAAACAAACUCAGCUUUCUUGCUGGUAGCAGUUUCACUAAUAGGUGCUAUUGUUGUUUUUUUUUAAUUGAAAAUGGAUUGUUUUCUCAUUCUUUAUAUGUCCUAAAAAUCUUAUCAAAACCCUGAACUGGAAGCCAUAAAAUAUACUCAAAAGUCUUGACUCAGUACCUUGCAGUCAAUAGGAAUGCUGGAUCAGUCUCUCUGCAUUCAUAUAGGCUUUGGUCAGGGAGUUGGCAAUGUGGGGAUGUAGCUCAGUGGUAGAGCACAUAUUUGGCGUGUAUGAGGUCCCGGGUUCGAUUCUCGGCAUCUCCAUGAACUUUUAACUUUCAAGGUUUUCCUUUUCAGGAUGUUUCUGCACAAGGUAUCACAGACUUUAAAAUUUUUUAGGAGAUCAUAGCUAAUUAUUGGGUGAAAUUAUUCAUCUGUCACCAAGACAUCAAUGUUCAUCUCAGACUGUGACUACUUUUCCAUGGAGACCACCACAAUCUGAAAUUUUACAGCCUGAUGCGGAGUUGGUAUUGCUGAGUGUUCCAUAUUCAUCUGGAAAGUCGAAUGCUGCAUGUUUAUGUGUGGAAUAUAUGCACAUGACUACAUAUGCCCAUGGUGGCCAGGAAAGGACAUCAGUUCCUCUGGAUCUGGACUUACAGGUAAUUGAGAGCCUCCAGGUGAGUACU